GUACUAAUACCGCAUGAGACCACAGAUGGGCAUCCAUCAGGGGUCAAGAUUUAUCGGUAAGAGGUGGGCUCGCGUCUGAUUAGAUAGUUGGUGGGGUAAUGGCCUACCAAGUCGACGAUCAGUAGCCGACCUGAGAGGGUGAUCGGCCACACUGGAACCUGAGAAACGGUCCAGACUCCUACGGGAGGCAGCAGUAGGGAAUAUUGGGCAAUGGGCGAAAGCCUGACCCAGCAACGCCGCGUGAAGGAAGAAGGUCUUCGGAUUGUAAACUUCUGUUGUAAGGGAAAAACAAAUGAUGGUACCUUACGAGGAAGCUACGGCAAACUACGUG
rnacentral:rRNA from 1 species